rnacentral:rRNA from 1 species
CACGUAGGGCGCAAGCGUUGUCCGGAAUUAUUGGGCGUAAAGAGCUCGUAGGCGGUUUGUCGCGUCGGGAGUGAAAACCCAGGGCUUAACUCUGGGCUUGCUUUCGAUACGGGCAGACUAGAGGUAUGCAGGGGAGAACGGAAUUCCUGGUGUAGCGGUGAAAUGCGCAGAUAUCAGGAGGAACACCGGUGGCGAAGGCGGUUCUCUGGGCCUGUACUGACGUGAGGAGCGAAAAG